CUACCUUCAACUUCCCAUAUACUUCAAAAUAAAGUCAGAAUCAUCUUCUGUUCUCUUCCCAUUUCGGACUGCACUCACAAAUAUAUUUUUUUUUUUUCAUUUGGAGACACAAAUUCCUCCUUUCUCUUCUCUACACAGCAUCUUCCCAUUGAAGAAUCAAAUGAGAAUCAACACAACAUCUUCCCAAGCUCUCCUUUAUCUUCUCUACACUGUGCAUCUUCAGUUAUGGCAAAUGAACGAGUGCACCCCGGGCUACUAGACUCAAGUUCGCUAGCAUUUCAAAGCCGUCACCGAAGUAGAGCUAUUUGGACGGAUUCUAACUAUGACGUCCAAUUGAAAGAUGUUAAGUAUGAUACCGUAACGAGGUGUGCAGCCGUUGAUGAUGAAAGAGUGAAAAAGUGGCUGCGUAUUUCUGGAUUUUACGGUGUUUCUCAACUCACAAAAAUACAGUUGGAUCAUGGGCUUAUUACUACCCUUUUAGAGCGAUGAGGCCAGAGGUCCACGCUUUCCACAUGCCCUUCGGUGAGGUUGGAAUAACUCUUCAAGAUGUAGAAGUGUUAUUUGGCCUAAAGGUCGAUGAACUUUUAGUGACGGGGCAGGAUACAAUUGGCACUAAGGCACAAGUAAAACUAAUGUGCACUGAGUUGCUAGGAUUUGAGAUAUAGCAUGACGAAUCAUAAAAUAUAUUGUAAUUAUGUAUUUGAACGAAUAGUCAUUUCAUAUUCAACGAAUAGUCUUCUCAUA